rnacentral:rRNA from 1 species
AACGAACGCUGGCGGCAUGCCUAACACAUGCAAGUCGAACGAGACCUUCGGGUCUAGUGGCGCACGGGUGCGUAACGCGUGGGAACCUGCCCUUAGGUUCGGAAUAACUCCCCGAAAGGGGUGCUAAUACCGGAUAAUGUCUUCGGACCAAAGAUUUAUCGCCUUUGGAUGGGCCCGCGUUGGUUUAGCUAGUUGGUAGGGUAAAAGCCUACCAAGGCGACGAUCCAUAGCUGGUCUGAGAGGAUGAGCAGCCACACUGGGAAUGAGACACGGCCCAGACUCCUGCGGGAGGCAGCAGUGGGGAAUAUUGGACAAUGGGCGAAAGCCUGAUCCAGCAAUGCCGCGUGAGUGAUGAAGGCCUGAGGGUUGUAAAGCUCUUUUACCCGGGAUGAUAAUGACAGUACCGGAAGAAUAAGCGCCGGCUAACUCCGUG